CUGUAAGCAACCUGGAGAUGCUGGUGCUGGAUAAUAAUCUUCUCCCCACAUUAAGCUCAUCCAUGUUGGAAGGGCUGUCCAGUCUGCAGGAGCUUUAUGUAAGGAAAAACCUGAUAAGUGGGCUGCCAGCUGAUUUGUUCCGUUAUACACCAAAACUCACCCGGGUGGCCCUGAGCGGGAAUCAACUUCACACAAUUGAUGGGAAUAUGCUGGCCAACAUACAAGGUCUGAUGGAUGUAUAUCUACAUGACAACCCAUGGAAAUGUGACUGCAAUAUUAACUCUUUGAUGCAGUACAUAGCCCAAACCGAAAUAAACCCAGCUCCUCUGAAAAAGCUCUGGUGUGUAAGUCCACAGGAACAACGAGGCAAACUCAUUCACAAGCUCAACUCUGAGAGCCUUCUCUGUGGAGCCUAGCUUGUUUGGAAGCUGGGGUCAGAGCGCAGGGUCAGCCAUCGUACGGUGCCCCUGGAGCAGACAGGGUUAAGGGCCAUGCUCAAGGACCCAACAGUGGCUGCAUAGCAGAGCCUGGAUUUGAACCGCCAAUCUUCCGGUUGAUAGCCCAAAGCUCUACCCACCAGGCUACCACUGUCCCUUAGCCACUGUCCCUUUGCUCAGCGUCGGCUUGAGCGGUGCGGUAAAACAUCAU